CCUACGGGAGGCAGCAGUGGGGAAUAUUGCGCAAUGGGCGAAAGCCUGACGCAGCAACGCCGCGUGAGUGAUGAAGGCCUUCGGGUCGUAAAGCUCUGUCAGGUGGGAAGAAACCUCCUCUUUACGGGGAGCUGACGGUACCGCCAAAGGAAGCACCGGCUAACUCCGUGCCAGCAGCCGCGGUAAUACGGAGGGUGCAAGCGUUGUUCGGAAUUAUUGGGCGUAAAGAGCGUGUAGGUGGCUUGGUAAGUCAGAUGUGAAAGCCCUGGGCUCAACCCAGGAAGUGCAUUUGAAACUACCAGACUUGAGUACGGGAGAGGAGGGGGGAAUUCCCGGUGUAGAGGUGAAAUUCGUAGAUAUCGGGAGGAAUACCGGUGGCGAAGGCGCCCCUCUGGACCGAUACUGACGCUGAGACGCGAAAGCGUGGGGAGCAAACAGGAUUAGAUACCCUGGUAGUCCACGCCGUAAACGAUGAGUGCUAGCCGUCGGUCAGCUUGCUGUUCGGUGGCGCAGCUAACGCAUUAAGCACUCCGCCUGGGGAGUACGGCCGCAAGGUUAAAACUCAAAGGAAUUGACGG
rnacentral:rRNA from 1 species